rnacentral:rRNA from 1 species
CAAUAGCGUAUAUUAAAGUUGUUGCAGUUAAAAAGCUCGUAGUUGGACUUCUGAUGUGGAGGGACGGUCCGCCUCACGGUGAGCACUGAUUCUUCACGUCUUCCUCUCGUAGUCUUUUGGCGCACUUAGUUGGGUGCCUUUAGAAUAUGGGACCUUUACUUUGAAAAAUUAGAGUGUUUAAAGCAGGCUUAUGCUGUGAAUACAUUAGCAUGGAAUAAUAAGAUAGGACUUUGGUUCUAUUUUGUUGGUUGGAGGCCAAGGUAAUGAUUAAUAGGGAUAGUUGGGGGUAUUCAUAUUUAAUUGUCAGAGGUGAAAUUCUUGGAUUUAUGAAAGAUGAACUUAUGCGAAAGCAUUUACCAAGGAUGUUUUCAUUAAUCAAGAACGAAAGUUAGGGGAUCGAAGACGAUUAGAUACCAU